rnacentral:rRNA from 1 species
GACAGAGGGGGCAAGCGUUGCUCGGAAUUACUGGGCGUAAAGGGCGCGUAGGCGGGAUGGCAAGUCGGUCGUGAAAUCCCUCGGCUCAACCGAGGAACGUCGAUCGAUACUGCUGUUCUUGAGGAUUGCAGAGGAGACUGGAAUUCCCGGUGUAGCGGUGAAAUGUGUAGAGAGUCGGGAGGAACACCGGUGGCGAAGGCGGCUUCCUGGACCGACACUGGACGCUGAGGCGGCGAAAGCUAGGGGAGCAAACGGG